rnacentral:rRNA from 1 species
CGAACGGGUGAGUAAUGCGUGACCAACCUGCCCCAUGCUCCAGAAUAGCUCUUGGAAACGGGUGGUAAUGCUGGAUGCUCCAACUUGACGCAUGUCUUGUUGGGAAAGUGUUUAGUGGCAUGGGAUGGGGUCGCGUCCUAUCAGCUUGUAGGCGGGGUAAUGGCCCACCUAGGCUUCGACGGGUAGCCGGCCUGAGGGGGCGGACGGCCACAUUGGGACUGAGAUACGGCCCAGACUCCUACGGGAGGCAGCAGCG